AUAUGUGCAUCCUGGUUCAUGC
rnacentral:siRNA from 1 species